rnacentral:lncRNA from 1 species
GUUUUGAUAAAAUUAUGAUUUAACUACUUAAUUAGUUAUGUAAUGAACUAAAAAUCACAUAUUAGCAAUCCUUAGGCUAUAGAGAGUAAUUUCCUUUGAAAAAUAUUGAAAUCCGGGCACGUGGGCCCGGGGUCGAAAUUUAGAAAACUUGCGGGAAAGGUUGAAAAAUCAUUUAAUUAGUUAGAAUUCCACUUUGUGAGCACUUAUUG